GACGAACGCUGGCGGCGUGCUUAACACAUGCAAGUCGAGCGGUAAGGCUCCUUCGGGAGUACACGAGCGGCGAACGGGUGAGUAACACGUGAGCAAUCUGCCCUUCACACGGGGAUAACCCUCGGAAACGAGAGCUAAUACCCGAUACGACCACUUCAGGCAUCUGAUGGUGGUGGAAAGUUCCGGCGGUGAAGGAUGAGCUCGCGGCCUAUCAGCUUGUUGGUGGGGUAACGGCCCACCAAGGCAACGACGGGUAGCCGGCCUGAGAGGGUGACCGGCCACACUGGGACUGAGACACGGCCCAGACUCCUACGGGAGGCAGCAGUGGGGAAUAUUGGACAAUGGGCGAAAGCCCGAUCCAGCAACGCCGCGUGAGGGAUGACGGCCUUCGGGUUGUAAACCUCUUUCAGCAGGGACGAAGCGCAAGUGACGGUACCUGCAGAAGAAGCACCGGCCAACUACGUGCCAGCAGCCGCCGUAA
rnacentral:rRNA from 1 species